rnacentral:rRNA from 1 species
CAGAUGAUAUAGGGUUGGUCUGCUCAGGAACGAACGCUGGCGGCGUGCCUAAUACAUGCAAGUAGAACGCUGAAGAGAGGAGCUUGCUCUUCUUGGAUGAGUUGCGAACGGGUGAGUAACGCGUAGGUAACCUGCCUUGUAGCGGGGGAUAACUAUUGGAAACGAUAGCUAAUACCGCAUAACAAUGGAUGACACAUGUCAUUUAUUUGAAAGGGGCAAUUGCUCCACUACAAGAUGGACCUGCGUUGUAUUAGCUAGUAGGUGAGGUAAUGGCUCACCUAGGCGACGAUACAUAGCCGACCUGAGAGGGUGAUCGGCCACACUGGGACUGAGACACGGCCCAGACUCCUACGGGAGGCAGCAGUAGGGAAUCUUCGGCAAUGGGGGCAACCCUGACCGAGCAACGCCGCGUGAGUGAAGAAGGUUUUCGGAUCGUAAAGCUCUGUUGUAAGUCAAGAACGGGUGUGAGAGUGGAAAGUUCACACUGUGACGGUAGCUUACCAGAAAGGGACGGCUAACUACGUGCCAGCAGCCGCGGUAAUACGUAGGUCCCGAGCGUUGUCCGGAUUUAUUGGGCGUAAAGCGAGCGCAGGCGGUUUGAUAAGUCUGAAGUUAAAGGCUGUGGCUCAACCAUAGUUCGCUUGGAAACUUCAAAUCUGAGUCCA